CUGACGUGCAAAUCGUUCGUCU
rnacentral:sRNA from 1 species